UGGCGGACGGGUAGGAGUAACGACGUGGAAAACCUAGCCGUAUACUGGGGGAGUAACACUUAGAAAUAGGUGCUAAUACCGCAUAAGCGCACAGCUUCGCAUGAAGCGGUGUGAAAAACUCUGGUGGUAUACGAUGGUUCCGCGUCUGAUUAGCUAGUUGGUGGGGUAAUGGCCUACCAAGGCAACGAUCAGUAGCCGGCCUGAGAGGGUGAACGGCCACAUUGGGACUGAGACACGGCCCAAACUCCUACGGGAGGCAGCAG
rnacentral:rRNA from 1 species